CGGAACAACCCAGGGAAACUUGGGCUAAUACCGGAUGGUCGUCAGGAGGUCUCCUGUCUUCCUGAUGAAAGCGUACCGAAAGGUCCGCGCUCACUGAGGGGUUCACGUCCUAUCAGGUUGUUGGCGGGGUAACGGCCCACCAAGCCUGUGACGGGUAGCCGGACUGAGAGGUCGACCGGCCACAUGGGCACUGAGACACGGGCCCA
rnacentral:rRNA from 1 species